GCGCCUCUCCCUCUACACCUCCCUGCAAGGUGAGGGAGACGGCUCCGGCCUUUGCCAGCCUAGAAAGGGGCUCCCACAGUGCAGGGGCGGGCUGAAGGGCUCCUCAAGUGCGGCCAAAGUGGGAGCCCAGGCAGAGGAGGCGCCAAGAGCGAGCGAGGGCUGUGAGGGCUGCCAGCAGCUGUCACCUGUCAUUACCAUCACUCCUAGUGACCAUUUUGGAUAAUCCACAUUGCCUCAUCAAACCAGAAAACAAUUCAAACCUGGCCUCCUUAUAAGUGGAAGCCACAUUUUAAGAACUUAUUGUGAAGAACUGGAAAGCCUCCAAUAGAACAGAAGCUAAAAGCAGGAAUUAUAAAAGCUGUUACACCUACUCAGCUC
rnacentral:lncRNA from 1 species